rnacentral:rRNA from 1 species
AGGAUGAACGCUGGCGGAGUGCCUAACACAUGCAAGUCGAGCGGCAGCACGAAGAAUUUAUUCUUUGGUGGCGAGCGGCGGACGGCUGAGUAACGCGUGGGAACAUACCCCAAAGUGAGGGAUAAGCAUCGGAAACGGUGUCUAAUACCGCAUAUGAUCUUCGGAUUAAAGGAUUUAUCCGCUUUGGGAAUGGCCUGCGUACGAUUAGAUAGUUGGUGAGGUAAAGGCUCACCAAGUCUACGAUCGUUAACUGGUUUGAGAGGAUGAUCAGUCAGACUGGAACUGAGACACGGUCCAGACUCCUACGGGAGGCAGCAGUGAGGAAUCUUCCACAAUGGACGAAAGUCUGAUGGAGCAACUCCGCGUGCAGGAUGAAGGCCUUCGGUCGUAAACUGCUUUUAUGAGUGAAGAAUAUGACGGUAACUCAUGAAUAAGGUCGGCUAACUACGUGCCAGCAGCCGCGGU